AUGGUGGCUCACAAGCCGGCUUGUGAAGAAGAGAGGGGUCGGCCUGCGGACUACCGCAGUAACCCGUUCCGCUGGUGUUGCUGCUGCUUCUGCUGCCCGUCCGGACCCCAGCUCCGGCUCCCUGUGCUUCCUUCUCCCUCCUCCGGUGUCCAAUACAAACACCACGGUGCGUGAAACUAGUGAAUAUGAUGCAUUGGCGCACACCAAAAGCCCCGCAGCUCACUUCUGGAGCGCGGUUAGAUAAUCCUCAGGGACACUUGAGAGAAUAUAAAGGACAACAAAAAGCCUCAGUGAGCGUCUAUCUGUGAAAAUCUACUUAAAUGAAGGUUACAUAAACGCUAUCUAUCCAUGACAGCCGUCAGUGUACGUGUGGGUGCGGGGCCACACGGUCGCAUCGCUCGGUGCGUUUCCUCCGGCCAGUCCCUCCUUAAAUAUCGCCUUCCACCCGGUGACUGCUGCUUUUUGUGCCUCCUGUGCGUGUGUAUGAGAGAGAGAGAGAGGGAGGGAGGGAGUAUAUCCUAGUGACGGGAGGGGGCCGUGUGUCUCUUUCCGUCCGGAGCUCCAAACCAAACCGUAUCCGGGCUCAGGCUUUCUAUCCGAGGCUGAGUCGGCAGCGUCCUGUGGAUCCGAAAAGAGCCGGGCGAGCUCCCAGCAUGCUUCCCAGUCGUAAUGGCUGCUUCUGUCCGAGGCUUUGCGGCCCCUGGGUCCGUGUGAAUGUGUGUGCGUGUGUCUCUCUCCCUCCUAUGCUCAGGUUUCUCGGUCCUUCCUGCAGUGGCUGUCUUCCAUCCCUCUCUACCGGCCGCGCCAGGAACCUCCGCCACAGGAAUUUGUAGAGCCGGUGGGGAAGAGCUAGCUAGCCUAGCUGAACAGGUGGAAAAUGGAGCUGGAGCGCCCUCAGACGGAGUUCCCUGAUUUCACCCCCAUAAGCUAAUAUUAACAGAAGGUCUGUCUCAAAAGCUCCCUGAUCCCUUGUGGUCCCUGCAGGCUUGUUAAGUCAUUUUUCUACAAUUGUCAACCCCCAACUAAUUCAUCAUGCAUGAGGAUUUGCAACCACAUUGCAUUUUUGCCAUGGACCGACACACAUCACAUUAACAUUACCCCAGUGAUGUGAACACAAACAGACACUUUAGGGAUACAGAUCUGGCACCCUCUGUAUCUACAGGAAGUCAAGGAAGAUGAAUCCAAAAUGCAAGAACUGAAAGAAAAACAUUCCAGCAGAUGUUUUUGUCUUAAAAAACAAAUAAACUCGGGCUAAUGUGACUCUGGUCUCAUGGUCCAGUCGUUUCUAUUGUACUUUACAGCAUUGAACAGCCAGAGAAAAACAUCUUUCACUCUCUAUAAAGUCCAGACAGAGUUUCACUGAUAAAAUGAGGAAAAGCAGGCGAUUCCUCCUAAAAAUGAACCUGUCAGUGUGUGAAACCCUUAUAUCUCCGUCUAGUGGUGGAGAACGGAAAUUACAGAUGAGUCAGAGUUGGCCUGAAUGACCUCUUGUUUAUGUUUCUCCACUUGUAUGUUUUCAUCUUCACGUCAUGAUGUGUAUUAAUAGUAAAUACAUAAGCGUGAACUUAAAUAAAAGU